GACGUAGGGUGCGAGCGUUGUCCGGAAUUACUGGGCGUAAAGAGCUCGUAGGUGGUUUGUCGCGUUGUUCGUGAAAACUCACAGCUCAACUGUGGGCGUGCGGGCGAUACGGGCAGACUGGAGUACUGCAGGGGAGACUGGAAUUCCUGGUGUAGCGGUGGAAUGCGCAGAGUAUCAGGAGGAACACCGGUGGCGAAGGCGGGUCUCUGGGCAACAACUGACGCUGGAGGAGCGAAAGCGUGGGGAGCGAACAGG
rnacentral:rRNA from 1 species